UACGGAGGGUGCAACCGUUGCUCGGAAUCAUUGGGCGUAAAGCGCACGUAGGCGGCUAGAUAAGUCGGGUGUGAAAGCCCUGGGCUCAACCCAGGAAGUGCAUUCGAAACUGUCUAGCUUGAAUCUCGGAGGGGGUCAGAGAAUUCCCGGUGUAGAGGUGAAAUUCGUAGAUAUCGGGAGGAAUACCAGUGGCGAAGGCGCUGACCUGGACGAAGAUUGACGCUGAGGUGCGAAAGCGCGGGGAGCAAACAGG
rnacentral:rRNA from 1 species